rnacentral:rRNA from 1 species
CGGUAGGCCCUUCGGGGUACACGAGCGGCGAACGGGUGAGUAACAUGUGGGUGAUCUGCCUCGCACUCUGGGAUAAGCCUGGGAAACUGGGUCUAAUACCGGAUAUGACCACGAAUCGCAUGGUUUGUGGUGGAAAGGUUUACUGGUGCGAGAUGGGCCCGCGGCCUAUCAGCUUGUUGGUGGGGUAACGGCCUACCAAGGCGACGACGGGUAGCCGGCCUGAGAGGGCGACCGGCCACACUGGGACUGAGACACGGCCCAGACUCCUACGGGAGGCAGCAGUGGGGAAUAUUGCACAAUGGGCGAAAGCCUGAUGCAGCGACGCCGCGUGAGGGAUGACGGCCUUCGGGUUGUAAACCUCUUUCGACAGGGACGAAGCGCAAGUGACGGUACCUGUAGAAGAAGCACCGGCCAACUACGUGCCAGCAGCCGCGGUAAA